ensembl:lncRNA
AUGUGCUAUUCAAAGCACCUUUGCACAGACGAAUUCUGUGAUGGUAUUAGAGUUUUGGAAGAAGAGAAGGAGGAUUCAUCAGACUCAGAAGAUAUUGAGAAUUUGACCUCUAAGUAUCAGGAUAAAAUCCAGCAAUCCUUAUUGGAUAAUGUUGAUGCCAACUUUCGGAGACGAAAUCCGGUCCAGGCUACCUAUUCCAUCUCACAGGAAUUGGGCUUGGUGAACUUCAUAAGGAAUGAUGAAGAGGACUCCAAACCUGCUGAUGCUCCCAGACAGUCUGGUUCUUUACUAGAAAGGGCCUUGGCUUUUUGGGAUGCCAUGCUGAAAAAGAUUAAGAAUUGGUGGAAAAAAUUGCUUACUUGGUUAGAAGAGAUGCUUUCUGCCCUGAAGAGAAUGGCAACUUUCUUGUGGGAGGGAAUUAAGGAUGGAGCAACUUUCUUGUGGGAGGGAGUUAAGGAUGGAGCAAUUUUCUUGUGGGAGGGAGCAGUGCAUGCAGUGACGACUGUAUGGGAGUGGUUACAGGGCCUGUUUUGAUCCCCUCCAUUUAAUUCCCCCCCUUUCCAUAAAGAGGGCCCAAUAUCAUGGGUAUCUUGUCAGAUUUCUGUAUUUAGGGUGAUAUUAAUUUGAAAGAUUAUAAAAACAUUACAAAAGAUAGAAGAGGCUGAAUUUCCAUGCACAUAACAGAACGCCAAGAGAAGUGUGUAAACCUUCUUUCUAUUUCAUGGUGUGGGAAUUUAUUUUUCAUAUACUGUAUGAAUUGCUGUAAUUAGAGAGAAUUCCUGUGUUCCCCCGUCUGGGGCCUGGGUCAGAGAUAUCAUGUAGCAGGCUGCCUUUUUCAUUUUCUUUGUUCUUGGAAAUCCCAAAGAACAUCAUCCCUUUGGACAGAAUUUGGUUAAGAAAUGAAGGAGGCAAGGCUUCUUUUCCUGUGGACUUGACUGUCCACCUGUGGGGGUGGAUCAGUGGAUGGAGCACUUAUCACCAAUUAAAGAUGUCUGGGGGACAGACAAUGCUAUCUAUGUAUGCAAUUAGAACACCUUGGGGUGUUCAAGGGAGAGGCUGAACAAUGAGCUCCUAAAGAACUAUUUAUUGGACUACCUGACCCAGUUCAGGUCAUCCCUGGUCAGGAGAGAGCCAUGGAAAAUUAUAUCCCUUUAUCACCUGAUAAUGACGAUUAUCUGUGAAAACCUGGUUCCUCUCAGCAAUGAGAUACAGUGCAAAGCUCUGGGACAAUCCUGAGACUUUUUUUUUAAACCCUUACCUUCCAUCUUGGAAUCAAUACUGUACAUUGGUUCCGAGGCAGAAGAGUGGGAAGGGCUAGGCAAUGGGGGUCAAAUGACUUGCCCAGGGUCACACAGCUGGGAAGUGUCUGAGACCAGAUUUGAACCUAGGACCUCCCAUCUCUAGGUCUGGCUCUCAAUCCAUUGAGCUACUCAGCUGCCCCCAAUCCUGAGACUUCUGAUGGGGAAACUAUCCACCUCCAGAGAAAGGGAGUUGUCUUUCACACCAGUGUAUUUAUGGUUUUAUUUUGGGGUUUUGGUUAUGUAUGAGUUUGCUCUGACAACAAGAGCCAGUAUGGAAGUGUGUUUUGCAUGAUAAUAAAAAUGAAAAAAUAAAAUAAACA